ACGAACGCUGGCGGCGUGCUUAACACAUGCAAGUCGAACGGAAAGGCCCUGCUUUUGUGGGGUGCUCGAGUGGCGAACGGGUGAGUAACACGUGAGUAACCUGCCCUUGACUUUGGGAUAACUUCAGGAAACUGGGGCUAAUACCGGAUAGGAGCUCCUGCUGCAUGGUGGGGGUUGGAAAGUUUCGGCGGUUGGGGAUGGACUCGCGGCUUAUCAGCUUGUUGGUGGGGUAGUGGCUUACCAAGGCUUUGACGGGUAGCCGGCCUGAGAGGGUGACCGGCCACAUUGGGACUGAGAUACGGCCCAGACUCCUACGGGAGGCAGCAGUGGGGAAUAUUGCACAAUGGGCGGAAGCCUGAUGCAGCAACGCCGCGUGCGGGAUGACGGCCUUCGAGUUGUAAACCGCUUUCGCCUGUGACGAAGCGUGAGUGACGGUAAUGGGUAAAGAAGCACCGGCUAACUACGUG
rnacentral:rRNA from 1 species